CCGUCACAACGGCUUCCUGGCGUGACGGGAAUUCACCAAUGGAGCG
rnacentral:ncRNA from 1 species